CGGAGCCGCCGUGGGAUCCGAGAGAGUAAGUGGAUGCUUGCAGGCUCCCUUGAAGUGAAGGACUCACAACUGGCACACCAUCCCUAUGUCACAUUCUGUUGGCCAGAGCAAGAUACCAGGGUGCACAAGGGGACAGGCAAGAGCCACAGAGUCAUACCACAAAUGGCAUGACCACAGGAAAGCAGGUAUGGCUGGGAUCAUGAUGGCAAUCACUCUAGCACAGAGCCCCUGGAGCUGGGGCCAGCCUACUGCCCAGGUGGGGCAAAGAAUGCCACUCAAGAAGAAGGUUGCCCAGACAGAAAGUCUAGAGGUCGAUUCCAUGCUUCCCACUUCUGGCUUCAGGAUGCAGCUCCUACCUAGGAAGAUAGAGCCCACUCUUUCCUGGCCUUACCUCUUUGCUGCCCUGCUCUUCAAUCCAGCCAGGUGACUUGUGACCUUCACCUUCGUUAUCAAGCCAAGAACAGGCACAGGGCAGACCACGUGCACAAUUCCUCUGGGCAUGUCUGCAGCUCCUGACAUGGAAUCAUUCAGCACAAAACAGCUCUUGUCCUGAAGACAAGCUGGCUACAGCUGGACAACAUGCUACAAACUUCAGACAAAGGCCACUGUGGCUUGUGUUUGGACAAUUUUUACAUCUUUUGCUGUGAGGGCCAGGCAGGAAGUUCCCCAUAACACCUGAUGAUGUUCUUCCUUGCCCUUCCUCUCCAAAAUGGGUCAUAAAAGUCCCUUGUGAAAGCGACCCUUCCUGUACCAGAAGGAAGGAAGGAAGGCUCCUUAUCACCAGAGGUAUCCUAAGAACGUUGGUGGGUUUCCGUCUGCCACGUGCAUGACGGCCACUUUCCCUUGGUGUUUUGUCCAUCUCCAAAGGCAGUCAAAGCUGUCAGUGCACAGAGCCUGAUUAAUACCAAGAAGGAAGUAUGCUGAAUAUAAUGCUCGGAAAGCACCCAUCCGCCCACAAGGUCUACAUAAAACGAUCAUUACUGACUUACGUAACCUUCAUCUUUAUUGGCUAGACUUCGAAAAACUGUAACCCUCACCAGGACCAUGUCCUAUGUAUCCACUGCUACCUCUAGCUACAAACUCACGUCCAUCAUGCAAAAAAAAGAGCCUCAAUCUCUACUUCAGCAAGUACCAGUCAUCUUCGGUACACACUCAGAAUUCUUCGUAUGAAACAGAUCCAGAACAUUCAGAACACUUCA